UGCAAGAUGAAGCAGAAAGUCCCAUGCAGGAUGAUGCCUCUCUACAGUGGAUGAUGAAGGCAUUCUGGUUUGCAAACUCAGGAGAGGAACAAAGAACAGAUGUUGACGGGAUCAUAUCUAGAGAUGCGGGCCUACUACACUUCAUACGAGCAAGUGUGCUAAUAUACAUGAAGACUUGGGUUAUAUUUUUUUCUGAAAACUAGGCUACAACUUUAGUGAUGGAUGCAGAAGAUAUCUACACGAGACUACGUCUUAAAGAUGCCACCCUCAUAUAAUGAAAGAGGACAAUAGAGAUGGGUUUAAACUGGAAUAUUUACAUGAUAUUUAUUUGUUAUUUGUAUUAUA